rnacentral:lncRNA from 1 species
UGAGCAGUGGGACACAGAGGGCAUAGGGGUAUAAUUUGAGUACUUAAUAUAAUAGCAGAGAAAUGUAUGUAUUACGGGGGUAAGCACCAGUGGAAUGGAGAAGCACCAAAGAGUUUUGGAAGUACUCAGGAGGAAAAGAAAAGAACAGAGAGCAGCCUGGCCUCACUUCUCAGCAGGGCUGUCACAGUGCCCUCCCCUCCCUUCCUGAAACUCCUUCUUUGGCUUUUGCGACACUGCGCUCACCGGCUUUUCCCACUGGCUGCUCCUUCUCCCUCUCUCUUAGUGGUGGUUGGUGCUACACCAUCUUUUCUUCCCUAGCUAUAAUCCCCUCCAGGUGAUUUUAGCUAAUCCCAUGGCUUUAGUAGCAUGGCCGGGUUGAGGGCCAUGUCUCCAGCCCUGACCUUCCCUGAGCUUCAGACCCAGACUCUACAGCCUAUUUAACAUCUUGGAAGCCAAGAUUAACAUGUUCCCAGACUGUCAAAGACCCCAGCUCAUCCUGCACGUUGCAAAGGACCGUGGGGGGAUCUGUGCAGCUGCAACUGACCUCCUCCUCGUCUCCUGACAUCCGAGAGAUUGAGUGGAUUCGGGAUUCUGGUGAUGAGAGAGAUUUGUUUCUGGUGUCCUGGAAACCUAAUACCUCUAAUCCUGAAUGGUACGGGCUUGAAGAAAAAUACAAGCACAGAUUCAGCCUAACAGAGCUGGCGUUCUUGAUCAUCAGAAAUCUCAGUAUGCAAAUAAGUGAACUGUAUACAGUGAAAAUCAAGUUCCGGUCAGGAAAAUCCCAGGAGGAAGCCUUCAGGCUCUGUUUAUAUGGAUAAUGGCACUCAGGAAAAGUCCAACUCCACACAGGAUCUGGUCCCUGCCUGCCUCUCCAGCCUCAUUUCCCAGCACAUUCCCACAGGGCCAUGCUCCAAAUUAGCUACCCUUCACUCACCCACCGGGCCCUUUCUCUUCUCCUGAACAUAUGCUGGUGGCUCUCCAGGGGACAUCCAUCUCCCAAGCUUCCCCUGCACAACUGGCAAAUCCUCACCUAGUGGGAGCAGAUAAGGGGUGAGGGACUCCAACUUAAGAGAUGGGAACGCUUGUAAGAAGAGACUGGGGAGACUGGCUUGGCUGUCCAAGCUGGGGUUUUCAGUUGGUGAAG